CGCGCCCUCCCCACGCACCAGUCCGAACUCACACACGCGCUACCAUAUCUUCCUUGCUCCAGCAACCAUACCUGUUGUCUCCUCCUCUCGACAGGGCACGCCAACGCAGAGGCGGACCCACACAGCGAGCCCCUCCUUCCUUCUCUCACUGUGUCAGCAACGCGCGAGAGAGACAGACAGCGUGCGGGUCGACUGCAGCACGACGUGCACAAGCAUAUACACGUACGUCCACGUCGGCGCAAAGGGAAUACGUGCGUGGACCGGCAGCCGCCGCACCACCACCACUUUCCGGGCACCUCUGCUGCCAUCCGCUGCUUUUUCUCUCAUCAGUGCGUUGCCGCUUCGCUUGCUCGUUCUCAUAUUUGUCGCACUCUUCUUCCGCCUGCGCGUCUCUCCGGACUCUUUUCGGUCUUCCUUCUGCCCUCCCCGCCCCGCUGUGCCAGCCACCUCUGUGGCCUCGGCAGCGCUCUCUCUCGCUCCUCCCUCUCUGCGCUGGCGACAUGGCGUUCGCAACGUGUCACUACAUCGUCGAGGAGGACUGCGAGGACUUCUCCGAUGUGCCGCUGAAGCUUCACUCAUUCCUGGAGUUCUUGGAUGCGGGGCUGCCCUCCACGGACGGCAGCAACACAGAGCAGCACGUCUCUUCCAACAUAUCGGAGAAGAGCGAGGGGGAGUGGCUGGAGUCUGACAUUCGUCACUCGCUGCGAGGCGCGCCGUUGAAGGCGGCCGCCGACCGCCCGCGUCGGUGCUACUGCCUCGACGAUGCCCACUGCAUAUGCGGGCAGUUCUUUCUCCCACCCCUGCUGACACGCAAUGCCGCAGGCGCUCUGCCUCCUCUGACGCAUGGUCUGGCCACCAGCGGCUCCGAGGCGGAUGCCGUCGACGCUGCGCACACCUCGUCCACCGCAACGAUGUCUUCGUUUGGUGAGCCGAUGUACAUCUCGCUGUGCCCCAACCCUGUGAAGCUCGCGACGCCUGUACCGGUGAUAUCGCUGACGACGAUGUCCAUGGCGUCCGCGAGCACGACAACGACGGGGUGCCGAUGUUAAGCAGCACAACAGCGUGUCUCCUUCAUGGUGUUGCGUGGUACCCGUCUCUUGAGGCAGUGCGAUGCACGGCGCGCAAGAGAGGCGCGUGUAUAUAUGCGUAGGCGCACGCGCGCCGACUGCCAGGACGGCGUCUCUCUCUGUCUGUCUCGCUCUUUUGCCCUCUCUGUGUGCCCUACCACAGCACCAGAGACGACGAAAAACAAAAGACUCGCCUUGCGCCGGUAACGGGUACAGGCGAGGUGUCUGCGUCUCUGGUGCGCUCGAUGUGAUGCGUCUGCUUGCGUGCCUGUGUGGCUGAGUUACGCUUCCCCCUUCCACGUACUCGACCUUACUACCGCACGCGCGUGCAUCGACGCUCUUAGAGCGAACAUCAGCGAGCGGAAGAUGAUGAUGCCUGACUAACAGAGACAUGCCAACAUCCUCACGCAGGCGUGUGUCUGCGCGGCAAAUGUGCCGUUGGCACUGCGGUGCAGCGAGGACAUUGCAGGGACGCGUGUGCGUGCGUAAGGUGCCCGCGCUUGCCCGCUACGGAUUCUUUGUCCGCCUCCUCGCUUCCCCUUCUCCUUUUCUGUUCUUCUUAUUCGUUCGUUUGUGUUCAUUGUGGCGCGCACCUCAGUGUAGGCAUGCGUGCAUGCACGUCUGACGAGGCAGGGAGGUGGGGAGAGGUAGGGGUGGACAGACAGCAGGAUGUGAGGUGAUGCGGCACCUCUGGUGUACUGGCGUUCGCGCCCGCGACGGUGGCGAAAGGGCAGAAGACAAAAGGCGAUGGCGCAGAUCGUCCACACGCAUGUGAACAUACAAGCGCACACGCACUGAUGCUCACGACACACAGUCGCCCUGCCUAUCCCCGUUCCUCCUCUCCUCCGCCUCCCUUCCCACACACACGCAGGCAAUGCCCUUCUCUAAAUCUGCCUCCUCACGUUCAUUGCCCACAAGCAUGUAUGCGUGCUUCUAUCCUAUGUUUAGGUACGUGCGUGUAUGUGUGCGUGUUCUUCGUUGCAUUUCCCGUUGACAUCUGUGUUGUGCAUGUCUGCGUGCGUGACAAUAAUAUGGCAGUCAGUCUGUCUUUGCGUUCGGGCGCAUGGCGCACGUUUUUCCUUGCUGCCUCGGCGCAUCCCCUCCCUCCCCCCGCCUUUCCGUCCUUCCUCCGCUGUGUCCGCUUCCACCCGCAUCAUCCGCGGUGGAGAUACGUAGAAAAAGGAGUUUCAAUGCCGAUGGGGACUCUCGUGCUCACGUACGCACUUACAUACUGAGCACACACUCAGAGAAGCAUGCGCACAUGCUCUUAUGCGAUGAUCGACGGGCUAACACUAAUGACUUCGUACACGGUGUGCAUGUGUACACGUGUAAGCACCUUGGUCCUCACAGUCGCAGACAUGCAUCCAGGCAGAUGCUCCUACACCCCCAUCAUCUGAUAACAGCUUCCGCCCUGCCGCAUCUGCCGAAUAGUGUGUUAGAGUAACGGUGGAAUGGGCAAGAGGCCAAAAAAGAAGGAGAGAGGGGGCGGGAGGUGGGAGGAGAUGUGGAGUGGAGAGAGAGGGCAGAGACGGAGAAGAGCCGGCCGAGUUUGCUGCUCUACCGCUGUGCCAUUCUCUUGUGCGUUUUUUUUCUUCUCUUUGCCAAAGCCGCCGCGUGUGCAUCGACGCCGCGCGGACGACAGCGACGCCGCAGUAGUGUUGCGUCCAUCUCCGGGCUCAUUGUGAACGCGUGUCUCUUGUUGGCGACGUGCGUGGAUCAGCGACAUACCCGCAAGCACAUGCUUGUAUUUGCCCUUCUACUAAGCACGCGGGGUGCGAAAGGCGGACAAGGCAAGCCGACGGACACGAAACGCUUCAGGCGUUUAUGCCUCCCCUUCCCCGCCAUGUGUCUUGUAGAAGCCUG
rnacentral:misc_RNA from 1 species